GGCUGGUCCAAAGGUAGUGAGUUAUCUCACUUGAUUGUUCACAGUCAGUUACAAAUUGAACUCCUUGUUCUACUAACUUUCCCACCUUCUCACUACUGCAUUUGACUAAUCUAAA
rnacentral:Y_RNA from 1 species